UCUACACUGCAGUUCCUCGGUUGUAACCUGCCAUUAGGAGCUUCCAUAGCAACUGAUCAGGGUCGAGUCCACCCACUGGGUGCUGGAAGCUCCAUUUUCCUGGUUGUCUGUCCUUCCUCUCCAACUCCUGCUCCCUGGGGUCCCAGCUCUAUCCUGAGCCACCCCUUUAAUGGAGCCCCUGCUGCUCCUCCAUUUGCCUUGUGUUCUCUCAUUCUUCGGGCAAUCAAUUCUCCUUUCUAAUUUUGAUUACCCUGCACAGCAUUUUUCAAUGCACUAUUGUGUGGGGAAGAAAACCUUUCUUACCAGGAGUGACACUGGAAACAGGCAGAAAUUUCCAAGUUUGCUACACGCCUCAAAGCUGCCAGAUUGCACAACCUUGGAAAGUAGACGGGCGUGAAGAAGGAGCCUGAUGUUCUGGAUGCUGUGUGCUGGCCAAAAGGAAUUUCCCAAAUCUCAGUGUUUUUGCUUCACACCUGCUUUCCCACCCACUCCCCUAGCAGAGUGUCAGUAUAUAUAGUGCCAGCCCCCCUCGCAGGCAGGAGACACGGGCAGCUCAGCCUCACCAGGAGCCUCGGCACGAAGGGACAGCCAAAGGAUGAAGCUUUUCGUGGGCAUCCUGUUGUGCUCCCUGGUCCUGGGCGUCAGCAGCCAAAGAUGGCUCACGUUCCUCAAGGAAGCUGGUCAAGGUAAGGACCAAAGGAUGGCGGUCCGGGGAAGGCAGCAACUGGCCCCCCACCAGAAUUGACCACAGUGGAGGCCACAUCCCCACAGGGCAAAGGCCACAAGUGGGAAGAAAAGCAGCACGGUUUGCAAGAUAGCAGUUUCCCAGGCUUUUUUGAACAAUUGAACCACAUCUGGCAUUAUAACUUUGUGUAUAUUUAAGGUGAAUGCAUGUUAAUGACACAUUUGUUUACUUAAUAUGAUUGGCAUUGUGGCUAUAGAGAGCACCUCUAUCACGUGACAAAAUUAUCCUUUCCCUUUACUAGUUGAGAUAAUUAAGUUCUAGACUGUAGCAAGUUUGCUAAUUAUGAUACGGUAUUGAUUUGCCUUCAUUUUACUGUGCGCUAGAUGUCUAGAGCUUAUUUUCUACUGGUGGUUUUUCCCCUUAAAUGACAUGUGUCCUAUCCCUCCAGCCCUGGCCCUUCUGGCCAGCAUUGCACUGUUCCAUGGGGAUCCCCAGGACGAAGGUCACAUAAGCUUUGGGUUUUAACUUGCAGCAGAGCAGAAGACAUCUGGGGUCCAGGGCGCCUGCUCCCCACUCACAACUGGGACUCCAUUGCCACCUAGUGGGAAACCGGGGACAGCUCAUUGCUGUGUCUCAGCCAUGAAGUGGGUGCAUCAAACUUGUGCUCUUAGUAACUACAACCAACAGUAGCUGAGCUUAGCCUGUCCCAGGCACUGUUCUAAGAGCUUUACAUGUAUGAAUGAAUCCUAGACAGUAGAAAUAAUAAACACAUAA